rnacentral:sRNA from 1 species
AGCGACAUCACUUGCCUUCUUCCACUCCAGUCCAUCAGUCACGAGGGACACAUUCGGCUGAUUCUCUAGCCAGGCUUCCUGAACCUGUGUUCAGUUGCUGUUCUCUCCUUUCCACUGGCACUGUAACCUAGCAGCUGUGUGACCCUGGGCAAGUGAGUUAACCUCUCUGGGCACUGAUGUUCUCAUAUGAAUAAUGUAAUAACCUAGAGAUGCACCCCCCCCGGUCAUUAGUACUUCAGAACCUAUGUGUAGGGACCCUCACGUGAUGGUUAGUGGCCUCUGAGGUGUCUCUAACAAGCAUUAAUUCCUUUCCUUCGCCUUGAUCCCCCCUAGUAUCUGACACUAUCUCCUACUGCCACAGAAGGCUAUAAAGGACCCAGUGACCCUCUGCCAUCUUCACAUCAGGUCCGCCCUGAGCAAGUUUUCCUGCUGCUGCUGAGGCCUCUCCCCAGCCUUUGCCCUGGGCUUCCCAUCCAUUGGCCCUCGAAACUCUACUGACUGCUCACUCUUCAUGACCAACGGCUGCCUCUGCCCAUGACCUCUGCUCCCACACGGGGUCACACAGCUGUUAGGUUACGGUGCCAGUGGAACGGAGAGAACAGCAAUUGAACACAGGUUCAGGAAGCCCGGCCAGAGAAUCAGCUGAGUGUGUCCUUCCUGACUGAUGGACUGGAGUGGAAGAAGUGGCCAGAUGGUGUUAUUUAUACGUCCACCAAGGUACAGAGUCAUCUGCCUCUGGGAUCGCCCUCAAGAUGGUGUCAAAUGCUGCUUCUGAAAUGGAGUCUCCCAAAGCAAGACAGCUGAACCAGGUGGCUUCCCUAAAGCGACAAGAGCUAACUUCCAACAACUUCUCACCAGCAACUUCUCCGGCCCACCUUACAGAACCGAAAGACAAUGACGAAGCAGACUAUGUCUUACCCAGGACUGCUUCAUGAUGCAUAGCUCUUGCCCCUGUCCUUGUUCUUCCUCCAUUUAAACCUGAACACCCCAGAGGCAGACCUUCUUGUUUGCUUCUCUUUCCCACGGGGCUGCAUUAAUAAAUCUCCAUGCUUUUCUUCA